UGCACUCCAUCAACACUUCUGGUUGAUUAAAUGAGGGGGUCCGGGCAGGGGUCUUGGGUUAAGGGUCUGCCUGCUCCAUGGCUAAUGGACCAUCAUUCUCCCUGCAAGCCCCCAGCUUGCCACCAGAGGGGCCCAGGCUCUGCCAUCUCCCACAGAGAACUUUCCAGAAUGACUCCGGUAGUCACGUGCUCUGUUCACGGCCUUUCUUAGCAAGGAGACAAGAGCCAAAGCGCAAACCUGCCUCUCCUCAGGCUCGCGGCAGGCUUUCCCGCCGGCGAGAACCAGCGGCUCUGUGGAAGCCGCAGCGCCACGGAAGCGGUUCUGACCGGAUCUUCCUUGUUCACGGAGCCGGCUCCCACCUCGCUUCCGAAAAGGCGCCGUCGUUCUGGUUCCGGUCUUACUCGGGUCUCCUUGGUCCCGCAGGGAGGACACUGGCUGUUAAAGGUUCACGGCUUCCUCCUCUGUGGAGGCCCGGGCUCACCCGCGUGAGGUGACAGACCUCGGUCCCCGGUGGGUGAGGCUGACUCGGUGAAGCCCGCCCGAUCCAGUCAGAACCAGACGGACACGCAUUGCCGGCCAUGACAGAAGCAGCGCUUGCUGGUCAGAACUUCGCUGGGUGGACUGAGCCUUCCCUCAGGCGUGCUCUCCGCGAUGGAAUGGCUCCCGAGACAACUUUUAAACUGCGCGACAGCUCCAGGAACUUCCCAUUUCCACCUGUCUGGAGCCACGUGCCUGGUCCAUCCUCAGGAUUCUGACCCAAGAGGAUUUUCAGGCAAGGGGAGGAGAUCAACUGGAAACCCCAGUGACUUCUAUUACUUAAGGAUUGCUGUGCCGCCUGGGCAACUUGGAGCAGACGAGUCUACUUUUCUCUGUAACUCAGCCAAAGUUAAGGGAGUCUGUGGAAGUGGCACAUUCCACUCCUGUGAUUAUCUGGGCAAGGAUGUGGAGUCUGAGUUAUCUGGAAGAGCCACGAUGUUUUGCUGUUCGGUCAGCAACAACGUGCCCCUGUUACGUAUGUAAAGGCUUUCAAACCUGAGUUCAUUUCUCCUGAUGGGAAGCAGAUUUUCCUUGGGUGCAGAAAUCCUGUUACAGAGGUCAGCAGUUUAAGGAGCAGAGGUAGGAGAACACCUUCCUCCUGGAUACACGGAGGGACCUGGGCCUUCCAACGGCCCGCCCGCACGGAUUCAUGAGCUCAGAGCCAGGCUGGUACACAAGUGCAGCUUUGAAGAAACUGCCAGCAAUCUGGUGCUAAUUAGCAGGGCGCAGAGUUGUUAUUUCAAGGUUGACGCACAGGGUAACAAUGCUCAAAGACCGUUACUCUACAAUGAUUCCUUCCUGCUAGAUGCUCUGCUCUCCAUCCACCAUCCACGAGAAGCAACACAUUCUACAGCAACAAAUGCAUGGGUGGUGGGCCCAAGAAACUGCCCCUUGCCUCUCGCUACAGAAGCUCCUGACCCAGUAUCGAUCAGAAUAUCAUCACAGAUAGCCCCAUCACUGCCAAGUCUAGGUUUCCAUAGCAAACGAGAGGCAUCAGAAAGCCUGGCAAGCGCCCUGAACUGGAGUUCUCUACGUUCCCAUGAUAGAUGCUUACCUCUCAAAUAGCUGAAGUGAAGCAGACCCUCAGCCAGGGUCCUAAAGCAGAGACAGGUUGACAGCGUAACCUGCCCUCCAGCGCCACACACGGACCCUGAGAGUCCAUGUGACCAUGGGCCACUCGGUCUACUUGCAGCCUAGUUCCCAAAAAGGUGAUGGCAAAGCAGAGUUCAAGUCCGACUACCUAUGUUUUGUACUAACAGAAAAAGCCAACAGGAGACAGGGGGAUGUAGAUGCUACCCAUGGACCAGUGUAGGAGGACUAUUACCGAAAGCUGACGGCAUAUUCCUUUCCUUGUUUCACAAAGUAAACUCGUAUUUGGUCACUGUGACGGGGCAGGCAUCGAGCCUAAUGCUUAAGGUGCCA